GAUGAACGCUGGCGGCGUGCUUAACACAUGCAAGUCGAACGGUGAAGGCGGAGCUUGCUCUGCUGGAUCAGUGGCGAACGGGUGAGUAACACGUGAGCAAUCUGCCCCUGACUCUGGGAUAAGCGCUGGAAACGGCGUCUAAUACUGGAUACGAGCUGCGAAGGCAUCUUCAGCAGCUGGAAAGAAUUUCGGUCAGGGAUGAGCUCGCGGCCUAUCAGCUUGUUGGUGAGGUAAUGGCUCACCAAGGCGUCGACGGGUAGCCGGCCUGAGAGGGUGACCGGCCACACUGGAACUGAGACACGGCCCAGACUCCUACGGGAGGCAGCAGUGGGGAAUAUUGCACAAUGGGCGAAAGCCUGAUGCAGCAACGCCGCGUGAGGGACGACGGCCUUCGGGUUGUAAACCUCUUUUAGCAGGGAAGAAGCGAAAGUGACGGUACCUGCAGAAAAAGCGCCGGCUAACUACGUG
rnacentral:rRNA from 1 species